rnacentral:lncRNA from 1 species
AAAAAUCUUCAUGGAGUGGCAAAAGUUGUUUACCUGAAGCUCACAAGAUGUAUCCAGAAAAUAUCACCAGGGAUCAGAUCAAGCCUGACCCCCAUUUUACAUCUUCUGUAACCAGAAGCACUCCAAGAACAACACUUUCAUUCAUGGACUUAACAACUACAUUAGAUCAUACCAGCCUGUCACUUCAAAGUCACCAGUGUCAAGGAACAUUUCAAAUUGGCUUAAAGCAUUGUUUUGGAGGUGUGAAUAAUGAAGCCAAGGACAUUAGCAACAUCAUGAAAGCAGGCAUCAAGUGAAUAGAGAAGAUUCUAUGGAUGUAGAAGAGGUCCCUGGGUUUCCGAAUUGCCACUGGAUUGCCUCUAUCAAAUACACAAGAGUUUCAUGAGUGAGAAAUAACCUUCUGUUGCUUUAAAUCUUGGGUUGUGCAAUACAUCAGUGAGCCUACCAUGACUAAUACAUUCUAUGGAUGCAGAUUUCUCUUCUCUGGCCAUUGACAUGAGUGUGCUUUCUGGAUGCAGUCACAGGGGACCCAAGAUUCUUGGACAGAAUUCUCGCCGGGAGCCAACUCAGCCUGAUCUGCUGGCAUCUCUCAAGUAUCAGAAGUCAACAAAAUGGUUUGCCUUGAAGACUUGGCCAGAGCAGCAGCCAAAGUUCAUAAGGCUUUCGUAGAGAGAUUGUUUGUCUAAGAAAACAAAAUUCUAAGGGCUCCCAUUGUGCAGCUGGGGUGGCAAAAUGCAAACUAAUAUAAGGAAAAAAAAUGCUUUUCAUUUCCAUGGAAGAAAUGACCCAUCCUAUUGUUGAUAUUUCCUUUUCUGUGCUAACUUAUUCCAUUAAUUAGGCUCUCGUUUUAUGAGAUAAUUUCACUGCAUGCGUAUCUUCUUUUGGUUAUUACACAAGGACUGUUUUCUAUGGUUCAUAUCUAAGUCCAACCCUGGAAAAAUCUUUUUUUUUGAGACAGCCUUUUUUGUUUUGUUUUGAGACAAUACUCCCUCUGUUGCCCAGGCUGGAAUGCAGUGGUGAGAUCAUAGCUCACUGCAACUUCUGCCUCCUAGGCUCAAAAAAUCCUCCCACCUCAGCCUCCCAAGUAGCUGGGAUUGCAGGCAUAUGCCAUCACACCCGGCUAAUUUUUGGAUUUUUAGUAAAGUUUUGCCAUGUUGGCCAGGCUGAUCUUGAACUCCUGCCCUCAAGUGAUCUGCCCACCUUGACCUCCCAAAGUGCUGGGAUUACAGGUGUGAGCUACUGUGCUCAGCUCAGCCAUGGAACAAUCUUGAUGUAUAAUUUAUCUGCAGGUAUCUCCAUCUCUAUUUGCCACUCUUAGUAAAUGUUUUAGUUUGACAGUAAACGAGUUGAGACAUUAAUGAUUGAGAGAGCACCUAAGCAGCUCGAAGUGCUGGGAGUCUCUCCUAAAGAAUUAGAUGCACACAGCAUUUUUCCCUUACAGACACUUCACUGAGCAGUCAUGUUGGACUUGGGUGGCGUCUGCUAUUAGACACACUAUUCACCAAUAAAACCCUGAAAAUUGCAUUGCACAGGACUGAUAAAAAUAAGAUGACUUAAGAAACGUAUUUAUGGUAUAUAUACACAGAAAAAGAAUGAAAGUUUGAGGGGGUAUUGCCUCUGGGAGGAAGAGUUAUGAGUAGUUUGUAUUUCCUUUUUUGUUAAUCUGUAUUUCAUUUUUUAGGCAAUGCAAAUAUAUUAUUUAGACAACAAAAUACUUAUUAGAAAGAAAAGACAUGGUGGGUUUUUUCCCCUUUAUUCUUUGCUUUUCUAAGAGGAAACUUUGACUGCAAUUGCUUGUGAGUGAUACCUGUGUUCUGGUAGCUUAGGAAGACACAAUGUGGUUAGGGAAGGAUAAGAACAGAUGGCUUUAAUAAAUGUACUCAAGGCUAAUGUACCCUUCAUAGUCUCAGGCUUCAGAUCAGAUCUCUUAUCUAUGCUGGCACCAGGAUGUGGUUUUGAGUUCUCUGCUUUUUCUACAGCUUUAGGGAAAUCUGCAUGCAGGCACAUCUAAUUGUCCAAACCAAAAAUCACAUCCAGGAUGUGAGGCAGCCUGGGAGAGGUCAUUUUGAGUUCUGUAGUCUCCGAAGUAUAAAAACACAUAAACAUGUAUACAUACACACAUUAACACCCACACACUUUUGAAGGAAGAUGGAAUGGAAGACAAGCACCACAGUGAAACUUUAGAAGAAUUUCCCUUACAUUCAGGAAAAAAAGAUAGAGGGUCCAUUUUCAUCACUCUUAUUGCCAUUGUCUAGAAGAUAAGCCGUAAUAAGAUAAAAUAAAAAGUGUAUAGAACACUUGGAAAAAAAUAUAAAAGAUUGGUCCCAUUCUCCGAUGGCAUGAUAUUCAAAUGAAGAACCAACUAUAAACAGGUUGUUAUGAGCUGAAUGUUAAUGUGACCCCAAAAUUCAUAUGCUGAAAUCUUAACCCCAAAGGUGAUAGUGUUAGAUGGUGAGGCUUUUAGGAGUUGACACAGUGUAAUGCCUCUUCUAUGAAGAAGUGGGCCUUUGUCAGUUACCAAAUCUGCAGAGGCCUUGAUCUUGAACUUCCCAGCCUCCAGAGCUUGGAGGAAUGAAUGUUUAUUGUUUGUAAACCACCCAGUUUAUGGUAUUUUAUUAGAGCUGCUCAAAGGGUCUAAGACACAAGUAUAAGUCAUAAGUAAAUGCAUCAAAUUUGCUGAAUAUAAAUCAACAUAUAAAAAAUCAACAGCAUGCUUGGAUCCCUGGUAUGAAUCACAUCUGGUCAUGGCAAAUAAUCUAAAAAAAAAUAAUAAAAUAAUCAAUUUAAAAAAUUUAAAAAGCAACAGUAUUUACUAUUCAUUGCCAAUGACCAAUUAGAAAAUGGCAUAAACAUGACAUCUGUGAUAAGACAAAUACUCUAAGGUAACUAGAACUACAAGUAAUAAAAGAUGUGUACAGUUUACAGAGACGAUUGUAGAAAGCCAAAAAAAAUUAAAAGUGAAAACCUAAAUGGGAAGAAGCAUCAUGUAUAUUGGGUCAUAGUAGAUAUCAUAAUAUAAAUUAUAAAAUACAGAACAAAAUGAUAUAAAAUACUAAAUUUCAAAAUGUGUUGGAUAUAGCUAAAGCAGCACUAAAGAGGAAUUUAUAGGUUUAAAUACACGUAUUGGGGGAGGAAAGAGAUAAAGUUUGAUAUGGCGGUAAGCAUCCACUUAGGGAAAAGUACAAAAAGAAAAUAAUAGUAGAAAGUAAUAAAAUAGAAAAUAUAAAAGAGGUUUUUUAAAAAAUACUUACAAAAUGGACAGUCUUUAUGGGGAUUGAACAAGAACAAAGAAAGAAGGCACUGAUAACCAAUGUCAAGGAUAUGGAAGUGGAUAUGUGGAUAUAACUAAAAUGCUGCAGUUAUUCGAGAUAAGAGUAUUAUAAGUAACUGUAAGAUAACACAUUUAAAAACUUGGUCGAAAUGGUCAAAUUUGUAGAAAAGUAUAUCUCAACAAAACUGAUUCAAGAAAAAUAACCCAUUAAAAAAUAAAUCAGCAGUUACCUUUUAUUUAUUUAUUUUUGACAAGAAAAUAUCAAAUGGUUUUACUGGCAAGAUCUGCCAAAUAUUCAAGAAACAAGUAAUUUCAAUUUUGGACAGAAUUUUCCAGAGAAGAGAAAAUGGGAAGAGGGUUGUUCCUCAUUUUAUGAAGCUAGUAUACACAUCAGUGCCAACAUUUGACAAGGGAAGUUUGAAAAAGGAAAAUCACCGACUAAUCUCUCCCAUGAGCAGAGACUUAAAAAAUUCUAAACAAAAUAUUUGCCAACCAAAUCCGAAUAUAGAAAGGAUUGUACACCAUGAUCAAGUUGAGCUCAUCCUAGGAAUGUUUCCUUUAUGGUAACAUUCGGGAAAGCAAAAUACAUGGGUGCACAUGCAAGAGGUAGGAGAUUGAGACUGGGAGUCUGUAGAACUUCUGAUUUCAUCCAUUUUUUGCAAGUGAAUUAGAUUUUCUUUAAAAAGGUUAUUGGGUGAAGGCGCAGAUAGAGGAGCAGGUCUUGGAGAUUUAAGGGGAAAGGAAGUAUGAUACAGUCUUCUAGAAGACUGGAAGAGUAAAUGGAAUAUAGCGUGAUUGCAUUGGGGCUCCUCUGAGCUUUAUGGGCAUGAAUUUAAAGAUUAUUUGAGGCCCUGGUUUGUGCAGUAAGAAAAAUUUUGUUUAGGGAUUAGGAAGGAAGAAAUAAAACUAAAAAUCUCCCAUUAUUCACAGAUGACAUGAUGAUUCUUAUAGAAAACCCAAAAGAUAUUACUACAUCAAUAUAGAAAACUCAAUUACAUUUCUUUAUUUUUCUUUUUCUUUUCUUUUUUUUUUUUUUUUGCUUUAAGUUCUAGGAUACAUGUGCAGAACGUGCGGGUUUGUUACAUAGGUAUACAUGUGCCACGGUGGUUUCCUGCACCUAUCAACCCGUCAUCUAGGUUUUAAGCCCAGAAUGCAUUAGGGUAAACACAAGCAGUGUAUUCUGAGGCCACUGGCCCGACUUCCCAGGUUGACUCAUCCUGCCUUCCAGCCUUGAAGGGCAAUAUCCUUACCAACAUGUGAUCUGAAGGAGCUCUGAACCCUCCAGUGAGACAUCAGCCCAUCAGACUCACAGAGAACAGCAGGAAGGCCAAAGACUCAAGAUUUAUCUAUCCUUGAAUUAUUCAGUGAUGCUGAUUACAACAGGCCUCCGUUAUACGAAGGGAAAACAUCCCAGACCCCCCAGUGAAUGCCUGAAACUGGAUUCUACUGAACCCUGAGAUGGUACUAAGUGACUAACGGGUGAAUAGCGUGUACAGCAUGGAUACACUAGACAAAGGGAGGAUUCGCAUCCCGGGCUGGUCAGCAAGAGGUUUCAUCACCCCACUCAAAAUGGCAGGACCGUAUGAACCUGAAUCCAGAGAAACGGCUCAUCAGUCUCCAAUCCUCUGAUUUUCUAAACCAGGACUACAUUAUAUUAAAACCAGAAAAAGCAAUACCUCUUUUCACAGAAUGGACUUUCUGGUGGAAAUGGGAGGAACCAAAAGAAGGCUGACUUCUUCAUUUUGACACCCUGCCCUGACUGCAGAACGUGAUUUCCCUAAAAGACUGAAUGUUAACCUCAAAGCCUGGUCAACCAACAUGCAGGAGAAAUCUUGACCAAGGCUCUGAGCAUGCUGUGGUCCCAGUGGUGAGGGUGUGAUAUGCACUGUCUGUUCCUGGAGUCACAGUGCUCAUCUUGUGGUAAAGACCUCUUGGAAGAAUGUCUUCAAAGGCACAUCUCCAGCUGGGAGUCCUUGUUUCCUGAUUUUUUUUUUUAAGUUUAUGUUAUAUGAACAAAUGAGACUGCUUUCCCGGCAGGAGUAGCCCUCAGACGCCCACUGUGAGCCUACUUUCUGGAAGAAGCCAACUCAGACAGACCACAGUGUGUGCACAGCAUACGUGGCUGCUGGCUGUGGAUGAGAAAGUAUUCCUGAUCUGUCAGAAUAAUGAUUUCAGCGUGUUCUCAGCAGGUCCUCAGUGUGAUCCCAUGAGGAUACCCUCAACCCCUUGCAUGACAUGUUGUACUUGGAGUCCUUCCCCAUUUCAAUUUCAGCAUCAGUGGGAGGGAAAUAGCAAAACAGCAUUCCUUCAUGUAGAUAACCAGUAGGCAGCAGGCUACUCCUGGUUCGUAACAUAACUCCACCAGUGUAUUCUGGCAGCCGGGCUUACUUAAGGGAGAGCACAGACAUUCCCUGCUCAAAAACAAAACUGCUAAACGUGACUCCGGUAGCCUCCAUGCUCUCUGCAAGAAUAAAAUCCUUGAAGAAAAAUUGUGAUAAGAAGUCUGUCUUUGGAGUCAGCCUGAGCACAAUCUUGCAUCUCCAGUUACCACCUGGGUGGCUUUAUUCACUUAAGAAAUACCUGUAGGAUACAUACUACAUGGCAGGCAUGCUUCUCAGAUGUUAGCUCAUCUUGCUAAGCCUCCAGUAUCUUCAUCUAAACAGUGAGGAUAACAGUAUGUACCUCCUAGGGCCAUCUGAGGAAAAAGUGAGAUAGUGUGUAUAAAGCUCAUAGCACAGGGCUCAUAGAGAGGAUUUGCAGUUAGUGUUGGCUGUGGCAGGUAUUAUUCCCUUUACCCCAGCCUAUGCCAUCCUUGCCACCCCAUCAGGAGCUCCUGAUGAUGCCAGCACCUCUUGCCGAGCCCUCAUCUGGGGCAGCGUACACCUUUAACUUUUUAUUCCUCUUGGCUUUGAUAUUCAUUGACCUGGAGCUACCCACACCAGGGGGCAGCAUAAAUAAUGGCAGAAGUCACAGUCUCUGCCCUGGCUUCACACCUCCUCUUGGUAUCAGCUGUUCACCAUGCUCUUCCUACUGACUCUCUGUAGGACCAGCACCAACACCAUGUCUUAAUCUGAUAUACAUACACACACACACACACACACACACACACACGAGACACUAUAAACAGUAUAUAUGCAAAACUAUAUAUAUUACUAUGUAUCUAAUAAAUGAAACUAAAAUAUAU